AACAGAAAAGGGGAGGCAGGUCUGUGUCUCCUGCGUUCGGAGGAACAUUGAGAUAUAGCAAAAAAAUCAAUGGCCAAGAUAUCGUUUCGUUCGUCAUCUUUUUUUAUUGGUGAUUCGAUUGUUGCUCGUCCACAU